rnacentral:rRNA from 2 species
GACCCCAGGUCAGGCGGGACCACCCGCUGAGUUUAAGCAUAUCAAUAAGCGGAG